rnacentral:rRNA from 1 species
CGGGGUGAGUAAUGUCUGGGAAACUGCCCGAUGGAGGGGGAUAACUACUGGAAACGGUAGCUAAUACCGCAUAACGUCGCAAGACCAAAGAGGGGACCUUAGGGCCUCUUGCCAUCGGAUGUGCCCAGAUGGGAUUAGCUAGUAGGUGGGGUAAUGGCUCACCUAGGCGACGAUCCCUAGCUGGUCUGAGAGGAUGAUCAGCCACACUGGGACUGAGACACGGCCCAG